rnacentral:SRP_RNA from 14 species
GAGCUGUAAUGGCUUUUGGUGGAACCAGGUGUCCCGAGAGUUCUGGUCUGGGUUCGAACCCUACGGCCAGACGUGGUUGCAAUUAUACAACUCUUUGUGGGUUGGCGCCGCGCCCAAGCUCAACUGCACUUCCUCGUAAGAGGAGCCGAGUUUUAGACGUGUCCCGGAUUAUAUCGAUCUUUGCGGGGAGUCCUGGGCGAGACAUGAGAAGUCUGUCUUCGCUUAGGUACGGCAAUGGUACCACACGACGCACCUUGCGUCGUUGUGUGGUUUUCGCAUGCUCCUUCCGCUGAAGGGGAGUUUCAUCCAGCACAGCAGGAGUCACCCGUGAGGAGGCGGCCGGGAUGGCACUCGUCCUCGGUAUCAUUAAGCACGGCGGUGGGCUGGGAUUUCCUCGGGGCAUUUAGCCUCUGUUGGACACCUUAGGAACUACCA